GACGAACGCUGGCGGCGUGCUUAACACAUGCAAGUCGAACGGUGAAGCGCCUUCCUUUUUGGUGGGUGUGGAUGAGUGGCGAACGGGUGAGUAACACGUGAGUAACCUGCCCCCUUCUUCUGGAUAACCGCAUGUAAGUGUGGCUAAUACGGGAUAUUCUGGGUCUGUCGCAUGAUGGGUCUGGGAAAGAUAUUGUUUCGGUGGGGGAUGGGCUCGCGGCCUAUCAGCUUGUUGGUGGGGUGAUGGCCUACCAAGGCGGUGACGGGUAGCCGGCCUGAGAGGGUGGACGGUCACACUGGGACUGAGACACGGCCCAGACUCCUACGGGAGGCAGCAGUGGGGAAUAUUGCACAAUGGGCGCAAGCCUGAUGCAGCGACGCCGCGUGAGGGAUGGAGGCCUUCGGGUUGUGAACCUCUUUCGCCAGUGAAGCAGGCCUGCCUCGUUUGUGGGUGGGUUGACGGUAGCUGGAUAAGAAGCGCCGGCUAACUACGUG
rnacentral:rRNA from 1 species